rnacentral:rRNA from 1 species
GAGUUUGAUUCUGGCUCAGGAUGAACGCUGGCGGCGUGCUUAACACAUGCAAGUCGAACGAAGCGGGAAGGAAGAAGUUUUUCGAAAUGGAUUUUUUCUUUGCUUAGUGGCGGACGGGUGCGUAACACGUAGGUAACCUGCCCUGUGCUUCGGAAUAACUCCGGGAAACCGGUGCUAAUGCCGAAUAAUAUCGCCUGUCGGCAUCGAGAGGCGAUCAAAGAAUUUUGGCACAGGAUGGGCCUGCGCCGGAUUAGCUGGUUGGUGAGGUAACGGCUCACCAAGGCGACGAUCCGUAGCCGACCUGAGAGGGUGAUCGGCCACACUGGAACUGAGACACGGUCCAGACUCCUACGGGAGGCAGCAGUGGGGAAUAUUGCACAAUGGGGGAAACCCUGAUGCAGCAACGCCGCGUGAGCGAUGAAGGCUUUCGAGUCGUAAAGCUCUGUCCUAUGGGAAGAUGAUGACG